UACGGGGGGAGCAAGCGUUGUUCGGAUUUACUGGGCGUAAAGGGCGCGUAGGCGGCCACCGCAAGUCGACUGUGAAAUCUCCGGGCUUAACCCGGAAAGGUCAGCCGAUACUGCGGGGCUAGAGUGCAGAAGGGGCAACUGGAAUUCUCGGUGUAGCGGUGAAAUGCGUAGAUAUCGGGAGGAAUACCUAUGGCGAAAGCAGGCUACUGGACCGUCACUGACUCUGAUAUGCGAAAGCUAGGGGAGCAAACAGG
rnacentral:rRNA from 1 species